CGAGCAGCGACGGCAUUGCAUGCGUGCCUACUUGGUUGGUUUUUGGCCACCGUGCUCGUGUACUGGGCCAGUGUGGGAAAAUAUGUGUUGGGUUCCUGUUGGUGUGGCAUUUUGUCGGCUAGAAUGUCCCGUUUCCACCUUGCACUGCUGCUCCUUACGGAAAUGUGGUGCGGGGUGGACAAACAAGCGCCCGUCGUGUUUUGCAAUCCUUGCAUUUCUUCGAAUGUGCUCGGGUUGACGAACCAUGGCGGCGUGCUCGAUAUCUCGGAUGCGGAAAACUGAGUGGCUACGAGGCCGUGGCCUCUGAUGCCCUCUGAAAAUGGCUUUCUACGCUACGUGCGAACGACUGCCGUGCGGGUCUUGCUCGGGAGCCUUCACGGCUCUUGAUCAUGCCCGUGCGUGCGGUGUCGGUGAGGAAUGCUACCUGGUUGAUCCUGCCAGUA
rnacentral:misc_RNA from 1 species